UUCUAUAUUUAUAUUUAUACCCUGUAGCCCAAGACUGGUUGCCCACUGAAGCUAAGCAGGGUUGAGCCUGGUCAGUACCUGGAAGGGAGACCUCCUGGAAAAAAUAGGUUGCUGUUGGAA
ensembl:rRNA 5S_rRNA 5S ribosomal RNA